GAUGAACGCUGGCGGCGUGCCUAAUACAUGCAAGUCGAGCGAACGGACGAGAAGCUUGCCUCUCUGAUGUUAGCGGCGGACGGGUGAGUAACACGUGGAUAACCUACCUAUAAGACUGGGAUAACUUCGGGAAACCGGAGCUAAUACCGGAUGAUAUUUUGAACCGCAUGGUUCAAAAGUGAAUGACGGUCUUGCUGUCACUUAUAGAUGGAUCCGCGCUGCAUUAGCUAGUUGGUAAGGUAACGGCUUACCAAGGCAACGAUGCAUAGCCGACCUGAGAGGGUGAUCGGCCACACUGGAACUGAGACACGGUCCAGACUCCUACGGGAGGCAGCAGUAGGGAAUCUUCCACAAAGGGCGAGAGCCUGACGGAGCAACGCCGCGUGAGUGAUGAAGGUCUUCGGAUCGUAAAACUCUGUUAUUAGGGAAGAACAUAUGUGUAAGUAACUGUGCACAUCUUGACGGUACCUAAUCAGAAAGCCACGGCUAACUACGUG
rnacentral:rRNA from 1 species